GACGAACGCUGGCGGCGUGCCUAAUACAUGCAAGUAGAACGCUGAAGGGGGAGCUUGCUUCUCCGGAUGAGUUGCGAACGGGUGAGUAACGCGUAGGUAACCUGCCUGGUAGCGGGGGAUAACUAUUGGAAACGAUAGCUAAUACCGCAUAAUAGUAGAUGUUGCAUGACAUUUGCUUAAAAGGUGCAAUUGCACCACUACCAGAUGGACCUGCGUUGUAUUAGCUAGUUGGUGGGGUAACGGCUCACCAAGGCGACGAUACAUAGCCGACCUGAGAGGGGGAUCGGCCACACUGGGACUGAGACACGGCCCAGACUCCUACGGGAGGCAGCAGUAGGGAAUCUUCGGCAAUGGACGGAAGUCUGACCGAGCAACGCCGCGUGAGUGAAGAAGGUUUUCGGAUCGUAAAGCUCUGUUGUAAGAGAAGAACGAGUGUGAGAGUGGAAAGUUCACACUGUGACGGUAUCUUACCAGAAAGGGACGGCUAACUACGUG
rnacentral:rRNA from 1 species